AGAAAAUAAGCCCAAAAUAAGAAAUGUUCAGCUGACCCAUAUUAGGAAGUUUAAGACUAGCUAAGUACUAGUCUUCCCCUAAAAUAGGGUUUCUUAAUUAGAGCUUCCCAUAAAUCCCAAUCCUACUCUCCGCCGUUCCCAUGUUUCUUGUUCCCUUCUCCUUGUCGUUACUCAUUUUCUUUCUCUGGUCAUUAAUGUGCUCCAUCCGUGGUUGUGGAAGUGUUGUAUUAGCUAACAGAGAUGUGAAAUCCGGUGGAGGCGUUUGUAGUUCAAGAUGAACUUUUUGUUGGGAUUUAACCAUGACACUCCUCCUGAAGGCUUUGAGGUAUAUCGACCUGCUGGAUCGAGUCUGCACUUCCAGUGAUUUAUCGGUUUGAGAUCCCCCACUUUUUGCUUGUCCUUUUUUGUGAGUUGAGGUAGCUCUAGGCUAAUAAGCUUCAAUACAACUAGAUCGUCUCUUAGAAGACAAAAUUCUUAUCUGUACAUAUUAUCGUUGUGUAUUUCUGAUUUGUAACUGCACUUAGCUUAGCUUAUUGGGUUAAUCCUCCUUGUUUUAAUUCUCAAUGACGGAAUUUGUUGUUUGUCUAUGUUAAUGUUCCGUCUUCCUUUGCUUGGUA